AUGCAGAGCAUGGGAACCACCUUCUACACGAGCGGGCUCGGCGUCGGGAACUUCCUCAACAGCCUGCUCGUGACGUUCGUCGACCGGGCCACCAGGGCGAGCGCCGCCAAGAGCUGGAUGGGUGAUAACCUGAAUGACUCGCACCUCGACUACUACUACGUGUUCCUGCUGCUGCUCUCCGUGGUGAACAUGGCGCUCUUUGUGUGUAACUAA
rnacentral:rRNA from 1 species